rnacentral:rRNA from 1 species
AGGACGAACGCUGGCGGCGUGCUUAACACAUGCAAGUCGAGCGGAAAGGCCCUUCGGGGUACUCGAGCGGCGAACGGGUGAGUAACACGUGAGCAACCUGCCCUUAGCUCUGGGAUAGCUCCGGGAAACCGGAAUUAAUACCGGAUAUUACACCGGCUGGCAUCGGCUGGCGUGGAAAGAUUUAUCGGCUAAGGAUGGACUCGCGGCCUAUCAGCUUGUUGGUGGGGUAGAAGCCUACCAAGGCGACGACGGGUA